CCUACGGGAGGCAGCAGUGGGGAAUAUUGCACAAUGGGGGAAACCCUGAUGCAGCGACGCCGCGUGAGUGAAGAAGUAAUUCGUUAUGUAAAGCUCUAUCAGCAGGGAAGAAAAUGACGGUACCUGAGUAAGAAGCCCCGGCUAACUACGUGCCAGCAGCCGCGGUAAUACGUAGGGGGCAAGCGUUAUCCGGAUUUACUGGGGGGAAAGGGAGCGUAGACGGCAGUGCAAGUCUGGGGUGAAAGGCGGGGGCUCAACCCCCGGACUGCUCUGGAAACUGUACGGCUGGAGUGCAGGAGAGGUAAGUGGAAUUCCUAGUGUAGCGGUGAAAUGCGUAGAUAUUAGGAGGAACACCAGUGGCGAAGGCGGCUUACUGGACUGUAACUGACGUUGAGGCUCGAAAGCGUGGGGAGCAAACAGGAUUAGAUACCCCAGUAGUC
rnacentral:rRNA from 1 species